rnacentral:rRNA from 1 species
GACGAACGCUGGCGGCGUGCUUAACACAUGCAAGUCGAACGGAAAGGCCCUGCUUGCAGGGUACUCGAGUGGCGAACGGGUGAGUAACACGUGGGUGAUCUGCCCUGCACUUCGGGAUAAGCCUGGGAAACUGGGUCUAAUACCGGAUAGAAGCCAUUUUUAGUGUGAUGGUUGGAAAGUUUUUUCGGUGUAGGAUGAGCUCGCGGCCUAUCAGCUUGUUGGUGGGGUAAUGGCCUACCAAGGCGGCGACGGGUAGCCGGCCUGAGAGGGUGGACGGCCACAUUGGGACUGAGAUACGGCCCAGACUCCUACGGGAGGCAGCAGUGGGGAAUAUUGCACAAUGGGCGCAAGCCUGAUGCAGCGACGCCGCGUGGGGGAUGACGGCCUUCGGGUUGUAAACUCCUUUCGCUAGGGACGAAGCUUUUUGUGACGGUACCUAGAUAAGAAGCACCGGCUAACUACGUG